UACGUAGGUGGCAAGCGUUAUCCGGAAUUAUUUGGCGUAAAGCGCGCGCAGGCGGUUUCUUAAGUCUGAUGUGAAAGCCCACGGCUCAACCGUGGAGGGUCAUUGGAAACUGGGAAACUUGAGUGCAGAAGAGAAGAGUGGAAUUCCACGUGUAGCGGUGAAAUGCGUAGAGAUGUGGAGGAACACCAGUGGCGAAGGCGACUCUUUGGUCUGUAACUGACGCUGAGGCGCGAAAGCGUGGGGAGCAAACAGG
rnacentral:rRNA from 1 species